UCUGAAUCACCACGAUCAAGUCUGCGUUCUGGAUGGUGGACAGGCGGUGAGCGAUCACAAUGCAGGUGCGGCCUUCUCUGGCUUUGUCCAGAGCUUCCUGGACAACCUGUUUCACAGGCACACAAAAGAUUUAAGGUAAGGGAUUGGGCAAACAUAACCUCUAACUCAGAUAAGAAGUAUGGAUGGAUGCCUCUCUGCUGAGACCAGCUGAUUUAGUCUGGUCCUCUACACAGAAAGAGAAGCUGUGACACCAAACCAUGAAGCACUCGACUAAAGCCACGUGCGCACGGCAUCUCCCGAAGGAGUCUGUCUUCUGUGAAGUCUCUCAAGACCAGUGCCAUCAGACUUUCAUUCCCACCAUAAGUGACAGUCCUUGGGACAACCAGAAGUACAACAUACAAUGUUCAACCAUCUACAGUCUGUGUUGCUCCACAAGAGCAAGACAAUUGUCUGAGGAAGUUCCAAAUUCAUUCAGUGUCCGUUUGUUCUGUUAAGUUUAUAUGCCUGUAUCUGUAGCAUGGGUUUUGUCAUUUGUUUGCUUUAAGCAAAGAGAGUCACAUAAACAAUAAUCCUUGAUAUUUAUGCUGCAGUUCCACAGUAAUGUGUGCUUUCAAAUUCACAAUUUCACCUAUCACUGGUCCUAUUUGUUAGAUGGAGGAGUAUGUGUAGUUCUGCCUUUCAGAAAGACUGGGACAAAGGGGGACAAGGCUCACGGCAGAAUCACAAGGCACAGAUCAUGUCCACUCAACUUCAACACUGUUCCAGAUUUUUGCUAUAAAAAAUGUAGCUGGGCAAGAAACUUCCACUUCAUCCAAAAAAUCAAAACCUGAUUGUUCAACAGUUUCCAUUUCCGUCAACAGGGGAUUGAGUAUUGGGACCUGAAUGGAUUCCAGGAUCAACCUCUGUGUUACAUCUUAGUCUUGUGGGACAGCUUUCAGGUACGUCCAAUCUAUACCUCAUGAGUCUCAUGCAUCCCAGGAUGCUACUAAUGUGGUCCAACAAGUUUGUAGAUAACAACGUCUCAUCUUAAUGUAAAAAAGUAGGCCACCUCUGUAUCAAGAGCAUCAGUUUACAGUGGUAACUCAUAAUUUCGAAAGGGAAGAUUUAAGAUUACAUACAACAUUUGCAUGACUGCUGAAGUUUUCCACUUUGAACAGGACUGCUAACAAUAUUGUCAGUUAAGACCUUAAUGUGCAGAAUGUAACAGGCACUCAUAUUAAGUCAUGACCAGCUAAUAGUCCUGUCACUUGGGUUACUCCGUUAGUCUUGCCUCAGCAAAGAAUCUCAACAGUGAGGAGUGGGCCGUGAAAAUGAGUCGGAAUUUGGGCAAGAGUAGUACAAACUUUUCCCGGGUUCAGAGAGUCAAGAUAGCAUGUUCUGAGUGUGCAGGAAAAAGAAGGCACCGAAGAUCUCUUCUAACAUUUCUCAAGCUUUGCACUAGAACAAAGUAUAGAGGGCCAUCUUGGUAUCCACUGCCUCGAUAGAGAACCAUCAGGAGACAUAAUAGUCUCAACACAGUCCGGUUCCUUAUGCUCGCCUGCAGCAAAUAGGCUACAGGUCUGUAGCCUACAUCUAUGGAUGGCUCACCAGCAAGAGGAGGCUGAUGGAGACCCAUGCAGGAUCUCUAUCUAAGGAACUGGACAGUACUCCUACAGUCUGUGUCCACAGAACACAAGAGAAGUCCUACUCACCCCAGAGUACAAGCCUCACCAGCCAUACCUGUCUCAGCAUGGAUUUGAAAACCAUGUAUCGGAGUCGCUUGGUGAGGAUCUCUCCAGCUUUGCCAAAUGUGAAGCCCUAGGAGAAUGAGAACACAUCACACAAGAGGCUAACCAGAGAUUCAAAUGCAGUACACAGUGGGAAUCAGGGUCUGUGAGUGUCUGGAGCAGGAAUGGACUCCGUGUGAGCUCCUGUCCUGUUUCUCAGAUGACCAGCUGGACAUUUUAUCCUUUCCAGCCCCUGGCUGUCUCCACACUGGAAGUCCAUGGGUCCACUCACUGUUCUUAAUGUGUUUUGCAGUCAUGAAUGACUGUCUCAGCACCAUAGCCCAAGUGUGAGGGAACUGCUUUCUCUCCCUGUAUUGUACCAUCCCAGCUGUCAAAGCAAAAGUGACCUGCUUAAAGCUGCCUCAUUUCUAAUCUCUUGCCAAAUUCACAUGGAGGAAGUGUUCAUUUUCACACACCUGGAACACUCUUAGAGGCAGUGUUACUAUACCAAGGUCAAGUUCCACAAUGAGUCUUUUAAUUAUUUAGUAAACAAACACCAUUUUUUCUUUUGUGUUCUUAUGUUAAGAACAAUGUUUUUUUCUCUUAAAAUAUUGAUAUAUUUGAAUGUGUUAAACAAAGAAACCUAUUUCAUUUUAACUGAGAUUAUUUACAUGUGUGUUAACUGUUAAUAUACUAAUAUAAGGUGGGUAGCAGUGGUGCACCCCUUUAAUCCUAGCACUCGAGGCAGAGGUAAGUGGAUCUCUGUGAGUUCGAGGCCAGCCUGGCUUCCAGGGUGAAUUUCAGGACAGCCAAGGCUACAAAGAGAAACCCCUGUCUUGACAAACCAAAAAAACAAACAAACAAACAACAAAAACCCUAAUAUAUACUUAGAAUGUGUUUAAUAAAGAAAUGUGUUUAGUUUUUGCUAAAAAAUACAUGUGGACGAAUUUGAUGCAUUAAAUCAGUGGUUACUUACAUUUUACUCAGUAAGCAGUAACGUAACACCUCAAAUCAAUCUGAACUCUUGGUCACAUGAGCUCUCUAAAUUAUCAAGAGGCAACACUGUUCCCAUUUACAGAUAAGGAAACUGAGGCUUAGACAGCCUAAAUUACCAGACACACAAUUGUGUAUAUGUGCAAAUACAUAUUUGCACACCUGUGUAUAACACCAAAGUCCACACUGUAUGCUUUCCCACACUACACUGCAAGAGUGUUUAGUUCAUUUACAACUGUAUUUGUGCCAAAUGGUCUGCAGGCUGUAAAAUAUCUUGUUCAUAUUUCUUAGGAUUUUUAAGACUCAUUUUUUCAUUACUGAGGCUUUUUUUUCAUUUUGUAAGAGAUUGAUAAGCUUUUGAAAACCUUUUAAAUCUGUGACCUGUUUGGAGUUUCAUUUAUUUGCUUGUUUGUUUUGGAAUACAGGAAGACAUUUCUCUGACUAUUCAAACUGACCAGUGGAAUGUACAUCCAAAGUGACUCAGGCUCACCCCAAAAUAGGCACUUGAGACCUCGUCUUCCAUUUCUGUGGUAGACAGAAUAAUCUGUUCAAUAUGAUCAUAUCACUGUUUCCAUCUGGGGCGUGGUUGGUUGGGAAACAGAAGGUGAGGCUAGCCAAAGGAUAAAAAAACAAUCUGGCUAUCACUGGCCAUGGUAAGAGAGAAACAAUUUUAUGAUAAGGAUAAUUCAUGUUCAUAAAUCGACCUGAAUGGAUGAAGUGAUAAUAAGACACUUACCUGAAGAAAAAAUGUAAUAAAAGAAAUGACCCCAAGGAUCAGAAACAAUAAGGAAAACAAGUUGCUAUCAUGUCGUUUGGUUUCAUCAUCAGUAUUUCUUGUGAAAACCUAUUAAAAAAAUUUGAAGCGUUGUUAGUUCCAUCACUACGAAAGCAUUCUUCAUCUGCCCCAUUUAAUACAUUAUGAAGUUUAGGAGUUGGGACAGUCUUUGUUCCAGGAACAGAGCUAGCUUCUAUAAUAAAGUCAGCCUCUAAAGUACCUGCGUUCUGCCUUUGUUGGGGCAUGGGGGCGGGGGUUGGUCUGUCAUUCACAAAUUCAUCCAACAUUCUUUGCACUUGUGUUCCUCCUAGAGAAACUGGUGCCGUAUUUCUUUGUGAGAAAAAUUCAAAUAAAUACUCUCCUUUUGACUUUCUUGUAA